rnacentral:rRNA from 1 species
GCGCAGCAGUCGCGAAAACUCUGCAAUACGCGAAAGCGUGACAGGGCUACCCCGAGUGUCGUCCGCUGAGGACGACUUUUCCACGCUGUAAGGAGGCGUGGGAAUAAGGAGAGGGCAAGUCUGGUGUCAGCCGCCGCGGUAAUACCAGCUCUCCGAGUGGUAGGGACGUUUAUUGGGCUUAAAGCGUCCGUAGCCGGCUGGACAAGUCCUCCGUCAAAUCCAGCGAUUCAAUCGUUGGAUUGCGAGGGAUACUGUUCGGCUAGGGGGUGAGAGAGGCCAACGGUAUUCCCGGGGUAGGGGUGAAAUCCUAUAAUCCCGGGAAGACCACCAGUGGCGAAGGCUGUCGGCUAGAACGCGCCCGACGGUGAGGGAUGAAAGCCGGGGGAGCGAACCGGAUUAGAUACCCGGGUAGUCC